rnacentral:lncRNA from 1 species
GAUCACCUCCCCGAGCCUGCUGGCAAUGCUCUUCCUAAUGCACCCCAGGAGCUUUCUUGGUCACCAGGACACACUGCUGGCUCAGGGACAGUUAGUCCCUCUUCCUCUUCUCCACAGAGCUGCUUCCCAGCAGGCUGGCCCUCAGCCUGUGCUUGUGCAUGGGGUCAUUCCUCCCCAGCUGCAGGACCCUUGCCUUUGUUGAUUCCCUCACCAUUAUUUCACAGACACAAGGCUAAGGAUCCCUGGACACUGUGACACCUCUCCCAGUCUGCAGUCCCAUGUAUUUGGCCAACAUGGGCAGGCUGACCAGAAAGCCAGCAGGACAGGAGCAUCACAGGGAUGCACAGGAACCAGAACAUCAUGGGGUGGUCUGAAAUGUCAUCUUCAUCUGCUAAAACAAACCUGGUUAAACACAGUGAGGCCUCUGCAGAAAGAAAAAACCAGAAAAAUGUCCUGUAUUCUGCAGAGAUGAUUAAAUUGCAUGUCCUUUACCAGGAAGAGAGAGUCCUGCUGUGAGGUGACAAACACUCAUCCUUUGCCUUCACUAGAUGUGAUCAUAAUCUUCUGAAGGUGCUUACUCUUCCUGGCUGACUUUAAGGGAUGCCUGCUCUUCCAGAGUAGAUAUUUCUCUGCACUGACAGAAAGGGGAACUUAAACAACAAGUUGAGAGGUGGAUGGCUGCAGCAUGUGAAGUUUCAUCUUUCCAUGUGAGCCCUGUCCUCUGCAUCUACCCUCAGAGCUGUGUGACUGACCACGACAGCUCUCUGAGAAUGACCUGGUGAUAGCUUUCAUCUAAUGCACAAGUCAUUUACUGAAAGGGUUUCAACACUUUAGGUAUAUGGAAGUUUACUGGUAUUUGCCCAAAUGGCCUUUUGGUGGCAAUUUUCAAUGCUGAUUGCCAGAUACAGCCUUUCUGCUGCAAUAUAUAGCUACAAAACAAGUUACAGAAAAAAAAAUCCUGAAGUUUUCUCACUGGGGAAGGGUUACUGAGUUGAGGUAGU